UUUCCGUAGGUGAACCUGCGGAAGGAUCAUUACCGUAUAACCGAGGUGCGCGGGCUGUCGCUGGCCCGAACGGCCGGGCGCGCACGAGAGCCCCCCCACCCACCCAUCUCACCCCCAUUUUCUUCACCGCACGCGUCGCCCUCCGGCGUGGGCGCAACGUGCCGUACGUAUUUACCAAAACUUUGUAUGCAGCUUAGAUUGUAUUUUUUGUUAUUGCGAUUACGCAAUCCAUACAACUUUCAACAACUUAUCUCUUGGCUCUCUCAUCAAUGCAGAAGG
rnacentral:misc_RNA from 1 species